rnacentral:rRNA from 1 species
CCCUCGUGCUAUGUUGAUUUCUCAUAGCAGACUGCCUUGUACAGCAAGGAGGAAGGUGGGGAUGACGUCAAGUCAGCAUGGCCUUUAUGCCCUGGGCUACACACACGCUACAAUGGGUGGGUACAGAGGGUUGCCACGGAGCAAUCCGGAGCGAAUCCCUUAAAACCAUCCUCAGUUCGGAUUGUAGGCUGCAAUCGCCUGCAUGAAGCCGGAGCUGCUAGUAACCGCAGGUCAGCUAUACUGCGGUGAAUACGUUCUCGGGCCUU